CCUUAAGCUUCACUCUUAUCAACUCCGAUUCCGCGAUCCUUCCUAGUCUUGUUCUUUUCUUAGCUCGUCUCCGAUUCGUUUUAUGUCGUUGUUGCCGGCGAUUAGGUAAAACGUCGGGAGAGGAGAAAUGGUGCGUUGUAACGGGCGGUAAAGGCUUCGCCGCCGGCCGUCAUUUGGUUGUUGUUCGAAUCGCUGAUUUGAUUUAUAGCAUUGAUCUCGAAUCCUACGAGGAGAACCGAGUCCUCGGCGAAGGUUUAAGGUCCGGUCGUGCUCACUACAUUUCUACUGAUCUUCGCCGCGAAGCUCAAAUACUCGGAGGCUUAUAGUAGCUUUGAAAGGAGUUGAGGUAGUUUUUCACAUGGCGUUUCAUCAGUUUGUUAAUCUUCAAGGUUGGAACACUGAAACUUAUAUCAAGGAGUUAUUUCUCAAGGUUGGGUUAAUGGAGUGAGCAAGAGGCAUGGUUGUCAUUACAAAGUUGAUUCUUAAUUAUAGAUAACAUUAUGCCAUUCUUGUCAUGAUUAUCUUGAUUUUGUUAUUUCCAAGUUUAUUGAAGAGAUAACAAACAUGAAUUAUAACUGUUUCUUUAGUACAUAUUAUAAAUUGAGAGAAAAGAUAACAACAACAAAUUUUAAUUUUUGAUUUUUGA